rnacentral:rRNA from 1 species
AUGGCCAUGACAGACAAAUACUUUGAGAGGCGGCAAGCUGAAAGCCCACAAUUCUUAUAUGCAACACAAGUGAAUAAGGAGACAAAUGCGGUAGAAGCAUUGUUUUGGGUGGAUGGAAGGAGAAGAGCACUAUACCCAAAGUACAAGGACUGUGUCUUUUUUGAUACAACCUUUUGCACGAACAAAUACAACAUGCCUUUUGCUCCGAUCGUUGGCAUUAACAACCAUCUUUAGACUAUUGUCCUAGGUUGUGCAUUGCUUCCAAAUGAGCAAACUGAAACCUUCAAGUGGCUCUUCCGGCAAUGGUUGCUUGCGAUGGACAAUGAGUACCCAACAAACCUUAUGAGCGACCAGUGCAGAGCAAUGGAAACUGCAAUUUCUGAUGUGUUCCCUCACACAAUCCAUAGGUGUUGCAAGUGGCAAGUACAGCAGAAGGCGCGUGAGAAACUUGGGAGGAUGCUUACAGGCGAUUCAACUUUUGAGAAAGUUUUCUACGAAUGCAUCAAUGAAUCCAAGACAGUGGAUGAAUUUGAAGAAACAUGGCAGCACAUGCUGCAUUGCUUCGAGUACACAGAGAAUAGGCACUUACAAAACAUGUGGGAAUGCCGUCAGACAUGGGCUCCUGCAUACUUCAAAAAUGAUUUCUUCCCUUUCACAAGCACAACCGGGAGAUCAAAAGGGCUGAAUUCUUAUUUCAAGAUGUUGGUGCAUCCAUAG